rnacentral:tRNA from 1 species
GGCGCCUUGGCGGAGCGGUUACGCAGCGGUCUGCAAAACCGUGUAGACCAGUUCGACUCUGGUAGGUGCCUCCA